GUUCUCCUGUCAGACACGGAUGGACAGAGAAGUAAAAUUCCAUUCAUUCACAACCACACGUUGCCUGCUCCACCCUCAAGAACUCUGCAUGCCAGCAAAGAAUAAACACGUUUCCCACAUUCUAGAAAAUCAUGACAAAAGUCACAAGUAGUCAUUAAUCUACAGGAUGAACUGAAGAAAGUGUUCACUUGGAGCUCCACUUCUGUGUUUGGUUAUAAGGCGAAAUUUCAGGAACCUUAUAACACAGAAGGAAAGAAGAAAAUAAAGACACAGACAUACGUAAUGCCAGAUGACAAAAAUCAGUCCAGUAUUUCAGCAGAACACUGACUGAAUGUAGAAUACUACACAGGAAGAAUGAAGGGCCAUGGUUAAAAGCAGAGCUGAGAAAAAAACAUCUUCCACUCAAAUAAAAAAGCAACAGAGAUACACAAGAAGAAGCCAAAGGAGAAGUGAAACAGAAGCCCUGCUAUAAGAGAAACUCCCUAGAUGGCUAAGGGUGAACAGGAGGAUGUAGAGCAUCUCUGCAGAACGCAUUCUGAAGCCCUACGUAAGACUUCCCUCUUCCUCUUUCAGUAUUACUGCCCUUCUGCCCACUCUUUCGUGAGCAACUCUGGCUGACAAUAUUUCUCCUUGACCUUAACUAAUGCCCUGAGCCCUCUCUCCCAAGAUCCAUCCUCCAGAAGAUGUAGAAGUGCAGGAUGAUGGACCUUGGCUUUGUGACAGGGAAUGGAUGACUUCAGAUCUGACCUCCUAAUUUUGAACCUGGCACGCCGUUCCUCAAUAAAUCGAAGGAUUUUGGUAUCCCUUAUUUGUGGAUCAUAGGACCUGCACGUUCAGUGGACACAGCCUGUACUUCAUUGUGAAUAUACAUGUGUAUCAUAACAUGUUGUUCCUACUUUACAUUUUAAUACCAUAUCUAUUGUAUACACAUAUAUGUAUAUACAUAAAACCUUCCUGCAAAUAGGACUGCAUGAUUAACACCUGAAAAUUAUCUAGCCAUGAGACAGUGCAUCUCCUAUAUAUUCUAGCUUUGAUAAUAAAUUACCAUUAACAUUUUUGCUGAAACAAAAUCUGUGCCUUUAAACUAAUGAAACAGCUCCUGUUAGCUUCCUUUUCUUUUUAAUAAAAAGCAAAAAAGAAAAAGAAUUUUUAUUGCAAGAUACUCAUCAUGCACAUUCUGGCAAUGCACUCUAACAAGGCUAACUGCAAAUGGGACUGAUUCUACAGACUCUUAUAAUAAGUAACCCCAUUCACUUCACACUGCAUAAAUUGUAUUUCUUUGAUAUAUGACUAUUUUCAUCGAUUGCUGGAGCUUCAUGUAUUUGGUUACAAGAACAUAUGUUUUAUCCCUUUUCUCUUUACAUAAAUAUACCUGAUUUGCUUCUGGGAUGACAAAUUCUUUUGUACCUCAUAACAUUGGUUUGAAUUAAUAUGCAGGGAAGACAAAUAGAUCCAUUUUUUCU